rnacentral:rRNA from 1 species
CGUAGGGUGCGAGCGUUAAUCGGAAUUACUGGGCGUAAAGCGUGCGCAGGCGGUUCGUUAUGUCCGAUGUGAAAGCCCCGAGCUUAACUUGGGAAUGGCAUUGGAAACUGGCGGGCUGGAGUGCGGCAGAGGGGGGUGGAAUUCCACGUGUAGCAGUGAAAUGCGUAGAGAUGUGGAGGAACACCGAUGGCGAAGGCAGCCCCCUGGGCCGACACUGACGCUCAGGCACGAAAAGCGUGGGGAGCAAACAGGAUUAGAUACCCUGGUAGUCCACGCCCUAAACGAUGUCAACUGGGUGUUGGGGAAGCGAUUCCUUGGUACCGUAGCUAACGCGUGAAGUUGACCGCCUGGGGAGUACGGCCGCAAAGGUUA